GCUGGAUUCGCUGUAAUCGCGCAUCAGCCACGGCGCGGUGAGUACGUUCCCGGGCCUUGUACACACCGCCCGUCAAGCCAUGGGAGUCGGGAGUGCCUGAAGUGCGUGAGCGCGAGCAGCGCCCUAGGGCAAAACCGAUGACUGGGGCUAAGUCGUAACAAGGUACC
rnacentral:rRNA from 1 species